rnacentral:lncRNA from 1 species
GCACCGUGGGGCCCAAUGCGCAUGAGAGGGGGUAGAGUUAGGCGGAGUAAGAAAAGUUUUUCCGGGUGAUUUUCGGGAAAAUUAGAUUUCCUUUAGGAAAGUAAUUAGUUUAAAUCCGUUUUACACCAUUUAAAUCACAGAAAUUUCUAGGAGUGUUCAAAAUUAGUGAAACCAAUUUUGUUAGGCUUGUUUUAUUUUCCUUUAUGCAUUAAAAUUUUUACACCCUAGAAAAAU